GUGCCAGCAGCCGCGGUAAUACGGAGGGUGCGAGCGUUAAUCGGAAUUACUGGGCGUAAAGCGCGCGUAGGCGGAUAUGUAAGUCAGAAGUGAAAUCCCUCGGCUUAACCGAGGAAUAGUUUUUGAUACUGUGUAUCUUGAGUUCGGGAGAGGUUAGUGGAAUUCCAGGUGUAGGAGUGAAAUCCGUAGAUAUCUGGAGGAACAUCAGUGGCGAAGGCGACUGACUGGCCCGAUACUGACGCUGAGGUGCGAAAGCGUGGGUAGCAAACAGGAUUAGAUACCCUGGUAGUCCACGCCGUAAACGAUGGGUGCUAGGUGUUGGGGAGUUAUUCUUCAGUGCCGCAGCAAACGCGAUAAGCACCCCGCCUGGGGAGUACGGUCGCAAGGCUGAAACUCAAAUAAAUUGACGG
rnacentral:rRNA from 1 species